ACUAAAGCUAGCCCAAACAUCAUUCAACUCAACUACCCCAAAAAUUUUCAAAUAAAACAUUCACCCACCACCAUUAAAAGUAUAGGAGAUAGAAAUUUUAAUCGGCGCUAUAGAGAAAGUACCGCAAGGGAACGAUGAAAGAAAUAUUAAAAGUACCAAACAGCAAAGCUUACCCCUUCUACCUUUUGCAUAAUGAUUUAACUAGAAUAAUUUAGCAAAGAGAACUUAAGCUAAAUACCCCGAAACCAGACGAGCUACCUAUGAACAGUCCCAAAGAACAAACUCAUCUAUGUUGCAAAAUAGUGAGAAGAUUUAUAGGUAGAGGUGAAAAGCCAAACGAGCCUGGUGAUAGCUGGUUAUCCAGAACAGAAUAUUAGUUCAAAUUUAAAUUUACCUAACAAAAGCACCACAACUCUAAUGUAAAUUUAAAUUUUAAUCUAAAGAGGUACAGCUCUUUAGACACAGGAUACAACCUUCCUUAGAGAGUAAAGACACAAACAAACCAUAGUUGGCCUAAAAGCAGCCAUCAAUUAAGAAAGCGUUCAAGCUCAACAACACAACCAUCUUAAUCCCAACAAUAACCAAACAACUCCUAAUAUAACACUGGAUUAAUCUAUUAAUAUAUAGAAGCAAUAAUGUUAAUAUAAGUAACAAGAAUUAUUUCUCCCGGCAUGAGCUUAUAUCAGAACGGAUAACCACUGAUAGUUAACAACAAAAUAAACUCAACCAAACAAUUAACUACAAUUAUUAAACUAACUGUUAAUCCAACACAGGCAUGCUAUACUCCAAGGGAAAGAUUAAAAGAAGUAAAAGGAACUCGGCAAACACAAACCCCGCCUGUUUACCAAAAACAUCACCUCUAGCAUUACUAAUAUUAGAGGCACUGCCUGCCCAGUGACAUCUGUUUAAACGGCCGCGGUAUCCUAACCGUGCAAAGGUAGCAUAAUCACUUGUUCUCUAAAUAAGGACUUGUAUGAAUGGCCACACGAGGGUUUAACUGUCUCUUACUUCUAAUCAGUGAAAUUGACCUUCCCGUGAAGAGGCGGGAAUAACAAAAUAAGACGAGAAGACCCUAUGGAGCUUCAAUUAAUCAAUUCACUAAAGUAUAAACUUCCAACCUACCAGGCAUAAAAAACUUUAACUGAAUUCGACAAUUUCGGUUGGGGUGACCUCGGAGAACAAAAAAACCUCCGAGUGAUUAAAGCUUAGACUAACCAGUCAAAGCACUACAUCACUUAUUGAUCCAAAUUAUUGAUCAACGGAACAAGUUACCCUAGGGAUAACAGCGCAAUCCUAUUCUAGAGUCCAUAUCGACAAUAGGGUUUACGACCUCGAUGUUGGAUCAGGACAUCCCAAUGGUGCAACCGCUAUUAAUGGUUCGUUUGUUCAACGAUUAAAGUCCUACGUGAUCUGAGUUCAGACCGGAGCAAUCCAGGUCGGUUUCUAUCUAUUUCAUUUUUCUCCCAGUACGAAAGGACAAGAGAAACUAAGCCUACUUUACAAAAGCGCUUUCAGAUUAAUAGAUGAUAUAAUCUAAAACUAAUCAAUCUAUACACAAACCUACCCUAGAUCAGGGUUC
rnacentral:rRNA from 1 species